GGUUUUUUUUUUUUUUUGGAAUUAUUGAUUCCUUUAUUUGUAUUGACAUUGCAUUUUCAACUCAUUUUGUUCUCCUACAUUUCGUAGUUUAUGGUUUAGGCAUUUUUGCUAAACAAUUUCGAUAAGAAAUUAUUUUUUUCUGAUUAAAAAUUAGCUUUGUCCAGCGUUUACUUUAAUUUUAUACUCCCGAAGUGGAUGAGAUGGGCUGAGUUGUCUUGGUUAUACAUAUCAAAAUUUUCAUUAUUAAUUAAGACUAAUCAAUAGCGGACAAUAAUAAUUAGCUGGGGCACAGGUUGGACAGGGAAAGAUCUUUGCGCUCGUGGUUCUCUAUUUCUCAAUCUAAGCGUGAGCAGCAUGUUUGCUGCUAGACUCUGAAGAGUCUUUUUGGAUCCUCAGAGGGAAUUUUCUUCUCUCGAAGUGUUGACAAUGAAGAGGAGGGAUAUGAGGACGCUAGUUGGGGUAACCGGGUUUUGGGAUUUAUGUUUGGCAAUGUUGACAAUUCUGGUGAUCUUGAUGUUGAUUACCUUGAUGAGGAUGCAAAGGAGCAUCUUGCUGCAUUGGCUGAUAAGCUGGGUCCAUCUCUCACAGAAAUAGAUCUGUCAGUAAAUUCACCUCAAAUGCCAGUUGAUCCCGCUGAUCAAGGUGAUGUUGUCUACCAGGAAAAUCUAUCUCAUGCAGUUUUUGAUGUUCUGUUAGUAUCUUUGUUUCCACACUUACUAGUUCUUCUUUUUUAUUAUUUUCAACAUCUAAUCAUUUUAAAACACAUCUAGUUGAUUCUGCUUGUUAUACCUUGUAUCACUCAACUAACAGAGUUCAGCAAAGGCAAAAGACUGCUUUUAUUUGGAUAUCCACAGGGUUGUCACUUUUCUGCUAAUGAAUUUAUUUUGUUCUAUUCUGUCGGUGUUUUCUAAGUGAUCAUUGACUCAGCUGCAUAUUACCUUUUUAAAAGAAUUUUAAGUCAAAGUAGCUGCUCCCCUCUUAUAUUAUUGUAAUGGUCUCUUGUGCUAGAAUGACUUGGAUAUCAGCAGAGUUGAAGUUACGUAGAUUGUUAUGACACUAUGUGAUACACAUUGGAAGUUUUACCAAGCAGAGCAAUUUUUUUAUAGUUGGUCAUUACAUGUAACCUUAUACAUUGGUGUUGAUGUUUAAAAGUUAGCCGUUUUUUUAAGAACAAUUUUGUAUGUACAAUUUUUUAGGCUAGCGCUCAAAAACACGAGUGUAGGUCAUAUACUCAUGAUCUUUAUGAAGUAUAUAAUUAACGAAAUUAAGUCUUGGCAUGGCUCAUUUUUCUAUUGCUACACAUUGAGCAAUUUUAGCCUCUUGUGGGUGGGGUUGGAGCUAACUCCUGUCUGCAGAAUUACCUUGUUUUUGGUAAGCAUUGGUUUUUGUGAGAGGCUGAAGUUGGCUUCUGUUUGCAGUAUGUACAUAUAUCGAAACCCUGGACCUUCCCUAUUGGUUCACAAGUUCAAAACUAGGGAUUGCUUUAGGACCCUACAAUCUCAGUAGUGGGAAACUUAUGAGAUAUAAUAUUUGAAUUAGGUGACUUGAUGAGGGUUUGAACCAUUAACCUUUUAGUUGAUACCAAGGGCUUCUGUCAACAAAAUUUCUGUCUAUUGAGUGAAGCAUGGCGUUACAAAAUGCCAAAACAUGGUUCCGAAGAUCUAUAAUUUGCUCAGAAAGGAGAGAGAUGAUGAGAGUCUUAAUAGCAUCGGUAACACCCAUUUCAACUUAAUAAAGAUGGUGGCAGUCUUGUAGUGUAUCUUUAACUGCUCACUUAUAUUCAGGUUCUUCUCAAGUUCAUUGUUCCUGAGGAAAUGAUUGCAAAACAGACCAGAUGGCAUCGAAUUGCUAUGAUACGUAAGCUUUCCAGUGAGCAAGCUGCAUCAGGGGUCCAGGUUGAUCCAACAACUAUCAGCAAGUAUGCACAUGGCCAACGAAUGUCCUUUCUUCAGCUGCAGCAGCAGAUGGGAAAAAUGCCAAGAAAUUUGGGAUUGACAAGUUCAAUCUCUUUCAGCUGGUGAUGACGAUGACAAUGGAAGUGACUCUGAAGCAAAUAGUGAUCUGUAUUCAUUUGCUGGCGACCUAGAAAAUUUGCUUCAUGCAGAGGAGUUUGAAGAAGGGGGCAGAGAAUAACUAUGAAUCAAAGCAUGAUAAAGCAGAUGGUGUAAAGGGGCUCAAGGUGCAAAGGCGUCCAUCCCAAGCACAGGCGGAAGAGGAAAUUGAAGAUGAAGCAGCUGAAUUAUGCAGGUUGCUCAUGGAUGAUGAUGAGGCUGAUCAGAAGAAAAAGAAGAAAACAAAAGCUGUGGUACAGGAAGCAGGAGUUGCUCCUACCAUGAAAUCUUUUUCUGGCCAUGAGAUGGUGGAACAAGGUUAAGAAGUCAAAUAAAAUAACCAAGCAAAUCAUUAGCACAGUCCAACAAAAUGGAUCCUCUACUGCAAAUGAGAAUAUCAGAGAUCCAAAGGAGGAGAGUUUAAUUAUGAAAAGAACCAUUUCUGGAAAGAUGAAAACAAUGAAAAAGAAUGGUAUUUCACCAGUGGUUCAACUCAAGAAACUCAAAAUACUGGGGAUAAUGUUAAGGCAAGUGCAACAUAAGUAAUCCAUUUCCUGGCUUUUGAACUCCAUUUUAAUGGCAUGAAUACUGCCACUAAUGUUGUACACGUCAUGUCUGUUCUCCACUUCAUACAUUCUGUAGGUUAUCCUAUGUAUUAUGACAGUAAUAAUUCUGUGUUUUACCUUGCUACUCUUUAAAAUUUGAUUGUUGGGGAGAGAUCAUACAAUUGAUAUGAAACAAACAAAUCUCAUGAAUAGACACUGCUAUUUAAGUUUUAA